ensembl:lncRNA
GUGAUCUGGUCCGUGACAUCCUCUUUGUCUCUGCCGAAUGGAUUCCUCUGCAUGUGGGAUUAGUGGAGGUGGGGUGGGAAGGAAUGGGAAGAUGUGUUAGGGAGGCUUAAGUCACUGGGUCACUUGGAAGGUGUGACCUGUAUCCAUCCAAAGAUUGAAUAGGGCAAUGGGAGAAGAUUGUGAAUCCAUAAGGCUAGUGUGCCUCUCACUUGUCUAAAACAAAGAUGAAAUAAGCCUACCUAUCCAACAUGAAAAGAAAAGAACAAGCUUAGUUACCUGUGAGAAGGCCUUCAUCCCUUCUUCCGCCUGGUCCCCAGCACUGCUGGCUGUCCACCCAGGGGUCAGGGUGGGGUCGGGGGGCAGGCAACAGGUGGCAGAAGCCCACUCCCAGCAUGGCAGCUCCACAGGGUGGCGACAACAAGGGCACAGCACGGCACACACAGGCGUACUGGUAGAGCGGUGGUGGGCAGAAUGGGUGCCACCACGGGAAGCAUGGGACACACCAUCCCCUUCCUCAUCCAGUACACAUCGCCCUGCCCCCUCUCCACCUCCUACACAGCGCCCACACAGGGUAUGGGAGCAUGGUAGGAGAAGGGCAACGUCAAAACCACGCCUACAGGACGGGCAUAGAGAAGAUUUAGCCAAAUCAUGGUGACCCUCCUCUUCUCCCUUCUCUUCCUCUUCUUGUUCCGCCUCUUUUCUCUCCUGUUCUUCCUCACCUUGCUGAUUGUCGAUCUUUUGUUGUGUUCCGUCAAGACGGGGUGGUGUCCUACGCAUUAUUGGCAGAUGAAAAGUUGAGUUGAAUGCAUUUAUAGCUCAAUAUCAUAUCACAUUUGUCAAAUUUCUUUUGCCUUCACCAAAGCAAAGGUCAGCAUAGUGAACCUGUCUCUACAGUCGACAUGUACUGUCGACAAUUCAGUAGUAAGGGGGCCAUCCCUGAAUCAAGUCUUUAACCAUUACAGUAUUCCGAGAGCCUUUCCUUGGCCAACACAAAGGACACAUGCUCUCCUAUCCUCCUUAGAAAUACACAAUGAGGAGAGAUCCCCCACUGUACAAAGAUAUCCUUUUCUAGUAGAUUUCAAAAGAGAUUUUUCCUCAACAGGUCACAAAGAUAUCCAACUCUGGUAAAUCAAAGAUCCUCUUCUUUGACAGAUCAAAGAUGUCCCCCACACAGAUGGAUGAUGGAUGACACAGUAGGCUGCAUUCACACGGAGUGAGAUGUUAGAGCUAGACAUAUUUCUGUCCUUUUCUUCUGCCUCACUUUUGCUGUUCUAUCUAUCUCCCUAUGCUGAUGUUGAGCAUGCUGUGCUACGUAGGUUGGCAAGACAAACAGAGGAAAAUAAAAUAAAUGAAACGGAGAAAGAGAAAGGCAAAUAGGAGAAAGAGAGAGAGAGAGCUACAGCCAGAGAAGAGAGCAGCCUUUUAUUAGACACUCAUU